rnacentral:rRNA from 1 species
CCUGAACGCUGGCGGCGUGGCUAAGACAUGCAAGUCGCACGGGCGUAGCAAUACGCUAGUGGCGAACGGGUGAGUAAUGAAUCGCUAAUGUACCCCGGACUUUGGGAUAGCUGCCCGAAAGGGCAGGUAAUACCAGAUGACAUACCUUACCGGCAUCGGUGAGGUCUCAAAGGUCCGCCGGUCCGGGAGCAGGCGAUUUCGUAUCAGCUAGUUGGUGAGGUAACGGCNCACCAAGGCGACGACGCGUAGCCGGACUGAGAGGUUGGCCGGCCACAUCGGGACUGAGACACUGCCCGGACUCCGUACGGGGGGCUGCAGUAACGAAUCUUCCCCAAUGCACGCAAGUGUGAGGGAGCGACGCCGCGUGUGGGAC